AUUACCGCGGCUGCUGGCUGAGCCAGGAUCAAACUCUAUUACCGCGGCUGCUGGCACGUAGUUAGCCGUGGCUUUCUGGUUAGGUACCGUCAAGGUACGAGCAGUUACUCUCGUACUUGUUCUUCCCUAACAACAGAGCUUUACGAUCCGAAAACCUUCAUCACUCACGCGGCGUUGCUCCGUCAGACUUUCGUCCAUUGCGGAAGAUUCCCUACUGCUGCCUCCCGUAGGAGUCUGGGCCGUGUCUCAGUCCCAGUGUGGCCGAUCACCCUCUCAGGUCGGCUACGCAUCGUCGCCUUGGUGAGCCAUUACCUCACCAACUAGCUAAUGCGCCGCGGGUCCAUCCCCAACCAAAAAAUCUUUCCACCACCAGACCAUGCGGCCAGUGAUCAUAUCCAGUAUUAGACGUCGUUUCCAACGCUUAUCCCAGAGUCAGGGGCAGGUUACUCACGUGUUACUCACCCGUUCGCCACUAAUCCACCCAGCAAGCUGGGCAUCAUCGUUCGACUUGCAUGUGUUAAGCACGCCGCCAGCGUUCGUCCUGAGCCAGGAUCAAACUCU
rnacentral:rRNA from 1 species